GAUGAAGAACGCAGCGAAAUGCGAUAAGUAAUGUGAAUUGCAGAAUUCAGUGAAUCAUCGAAUCUUUGAACGCACAUUGCGCCCGUCAGUAUUCUGGCGGGCAUGCCUGUUCGAGCGUCAUUACGCCCCUCAAGUCCCCUGUGGACUUGGUGUUGGGGAUCGGCGAGGCUGGUUUUCCAGCACAGCCGUCCCUUAAAUUAAUUGGCGGUCUCGCCGUGGCCCUCCUCUGCGCAGUAGUAAAACACUCGCAACAGGAGCCCGGCGCGGUCCAAUGCCGUAAAACCCCCCAACUUUUUAUAGUUGACCUCGAAUCAGGUAGGACUACCCGCUGAACUUAAGCAUAUCAAUAAGCGGAGGA
rnacentral:misc_RNA from 1 species